UCCUGGUGAGCUAUUUUCUCUAUUUUGGAAUCCUGCAUCUACUGUUGUUUAUGAGUCAUGAGGGUGUGUGUUUUGAUCAUAUGUGGGUGACUGUGUCCACAAAUAGUUGCCAUAAAUUGGUGUUUGUUGUGGUAUUAGAGGAAGCAAGGAUGAAGGACCAGUCCACUUGCAAUAAGUCUUGAGUGAUCGCACUCCAGUUUGACUUGUGUAAAUUCAUGUUAUUUAAUGGGUGCACUGGAGUUAGAGGAUUUAUUCUUG